AGAAUAAUGCAAUGAAUUGUGUCCACGUUCAACCAAAACGGAGAAGUGCGCGAAUGGGUGGAUAUUAAGACCGACCAAGACGCUCGUACGAUGAUGCAUUACAUGUUCAAAAUUGUUUUGAUGGUUGUAAUCGCAGAGUUCUUGUAUUGUAUUUGUUUAUAAUUAUUUGUGUUACUAUUUAUGUAAUGGUUCUUUCGUCACAAACGUCUAAUAUGAAAUAAAUUUAGUUUUUCAU
rnacentral:lncRNA from 1 species